rnacentral:rRNA from 1 species
GACGAACGCUGGCGGCGUGCCUAAUACAUGCAAGUAGAACGCACAGUUUAUACCGUAGCUUGCUACACCAUAGACUGUGAGUUGCGAACGGGUGAGUAACGCGUAGGUAACCUGCCUGGUAGCGGGGGAUAACUAUUGGAAACGAUAGCUAAUACCGCAUAAUAUUGAUUAUUGCAUGAUAAUUGAUUGAAGGAUGCUAUUGCAUCACUACCAGAUGGACCUGCGUUGUAUUAGCUAGUAGGUGAGGUAACGGCUCACCUAGGCGACGAUACAUAGCCGACCUGAGAGGGUGAUCGGCCACACUGGGACUGAGACACGGCCCAGACUCCUACGGGAGGCAGCAGUAGGGAAUCUUCGGCAAUGGACGAAAGUCUGACCGAGCAACGCCUCGUGAGUGAAGAAGGUUUUCGGAUCGUAAAGCUCUGUUGUAAGAGAAGAACGGGUGUGAGAGUGGAAAGUUCACACUGUGACGGUAUCUUACCAGAAAGGGACGGCUAACUACGUG